rnacentral:rRNA from 1 species
GACGAACGCUGGCGGCGUGCCUAAUACAUGCAAGUAGAACGCUGAAGGAGGUAGCUUGCUACUUCUGGAUGAGUUGCGAACGGGUGAGUAACGCGUAGGUAACCUGGCUCAUAGCGGGGGAUAACUAUUGGAAACGAUAGCUAAUACCGCAUAAGAGUAGCUACUGCAUGGUAGCUACUUAAAAGGAGCAAUUGCUUCACUAUGAGAUGGACCUGCGUUGUAUUAGCUAGUUGGUGAGGUAACGGCUCACCAAGGCGACGAUACAUAGCCGACCUGACGAGGGUGAUCGGGCCACACUGGGACUGGAGACACGGCCCAGACUCCUACGGGAGCAGCAGUAGGGAUCUUGGCAAUGGGGCAACCUGACCGAGCAACGCCGCGUGAGUGAAG